rnacentral:rRNA from 1 species
GACGAACGCUGGCGGCGCGCUUAAUACAUGCAAGUCGAACGAGAAGCCAGAGCUUGCUCUGGUGGAAAGUGGCGAACGGGUGAGUAACACGUGAGAAACCUGCCCCAAAGAUUGGGAUAAGCCUUGGAAACGAGGUCUAAUACCAAAUACCUUCCUUUUAACACAUGUUAAAAAGAAGAAAUAGCUCCGGCGCUUUGGGAUGGUCUCGCGAUCUAUCAGCUUGUUGGUGAGGUAACGGCUCACCAAGGCAUCGACGGAUAGCUGGUCUGAGAGGAUGUCCAGCCACAUUGGAACUGAGACACGGUCCAAACUCCUACGGGAGGCAGCAGUAGGGAAUCUUGCACCAAUGAGGGAAACCCUUGAUGCAGCGACGCCGCGU